UCGAGAAUCUUCCGCAAUGGGCGCAAGCCUGACGGAGCGAUGCCGCGUGAGGGAUGACGGCCUUCGGGUUGUAAACCUCUGUCAUCCGGGACGAAAACAAUGACGGUACCGGAAAAGGAAGCCACGGCUAACCACGUGCCAGCAGCCGCGGUAACACGUGGGUGGCGAGCGUUAUUCGGAUUUACUGGGCGUAAAGGGUCCGCAGGGGGCCUGCCACGCCUGCUGUGAAAGUCCAAGGCUCAACCUUGGACCGGCGGCGGGUACGGGCGGGCUAGAGUGCAGGAAGGGCAGACGGAAUUCCAGGUGUAGCGGUGGAAUGCGUAGAUAUCUGGAAGAACACCGGUGGCGAAGGCGGUCUGCUGGCUUGUAACUGACCCUCAGGGACGAGAGCGUGGGGAGCAAACA
rnacentral:rRNA from 1 species